rnacentral:lncRNA from 1 species
AUUGGUCAAUCUUUGGUGAUCUCGUUCUCAAUUUGUUGGUGUAAAACGGAUUCUGUUUUGUAGUAAUGUGCCUGGGUCUCUGUUCGCGUUACAUUGAAUGUUCCCUGUUAUAAUGCCCAUGCAGGCUUUCUCAAAGUUUUGAAACCUCUCACUUUUGUUCUUUUGUCCAAGCAUUUUAGUCUGGAAGUUCAUCCAAAUUAGUCUGGAAGAGUUGAGCGAGAGCUUAAGAAGCGUCAGGUGCAAGUUCCAUUUAUCUUUUGCCAUAGCCCAUGUCCCAACCCUCUCUGAUUGGCUUUAUUAAUUGUCAUUUUCCAGUUAUUCUCAUGAAUGUCCAUUGUUUUGUCAGUAUGAGAUUCUUUGACACUACCACACCUUCCUAUUGCCUCUUUAGUUUUGGGCUUUGUCCUUUCAAUCAGUUCCUGGUCAUUUUCCUUUAAUCGACAUGUUAAUUCUAUUCAUCCUACAUGAACC